AAAAAAAAAGGAAAUGCUGCGAAAAACAAAUAACGCGCACGCCCGCCGGACCUAACCCACGCCGUGCCGGCCGCCAGACGCCACUGCUCCGCCCGCCUGAAUUCACCGCCGCCGCCCUCCCCCACGCCGCCAUCUCCACGGCCCUCCCACGCCACCGAAGCCACGCCGCCGCGCCGCCCGCCUCACCUCACCGCUGAGCCGCACUUCCCCCCGCUGCCUCCUCAACUCCUCGCCGCCGGCCGGUACCCUACUCCGCUUGCAACCGUCGCCAUCGGAGCCGUGGAUCCGUCGCCGCCCUGAAUUUCACCUGCAUCCGCCCGCUUGUGACGUGUUUGAUUUUUUUUUUGUCCCCGGUGAUUCGAUUCAAAUUCAAUCUGAUCCUUUGUUGGUUUUGAUUUUUUUUGUGUUCUAUAUGUUGUUCCCUGUGGUCGUCCUUUCGCCGUGUUCGGUUGUUGCAGGAGCGGAUUUGAUUGGAAGUUCCCAAGUCGAGGUCUCAAGGAAGAGGUCAGUUUCCCGUCUACAGUCCGGUCGUUUGAUUUAGUCACUUGGGUCGGUGAUUGAUUUCAGAUUUGAGUGGUUGAUUACAACCUUCAAUCGAUGGAUGGAUGAUCAUCGGUUUCUAUCAGUCCUUACACGAGGUGAUUCGAUACCCUGGGUUGAUUGUUAUUUGUAACCGCUGAUCUGGCUUGUGGUAUGUGUUUGUGCUCCUCUAGAUGAUGCAGGAAGGAGAGUGCCUGUUGAGAUGAACCGAAUUGGUGGAGGUUUGAUUAUUAUGGUCCAGGUUCAUGGUUGCUUUGAUUAUUAGUUAGAUUCAUGAUGAAUAGGGGUGGUGGAGGUUUGCUUGUUAUGGUUCAUGGUUCUUUUGAUUAGUUCAUGAUGGUUUUGAAAUUAUUCUGACACGAAAGUUUGUGGUGCCGUGACAACCCUCACUGGAUUUCCUUUGGUCAGAUCCUCAAAAUGUGCAGAUUUCUAAGUGGUUUCGAGAUAGAUGUACGAGAGAUUGUCAGAUGGAAUAGCAAUGCUUUGUUUGGAUUCUGACCCCCCCCCCCCCGCGCGAUUUGAUUUAUGCCUGAAAAGUCUGAUUUGGGCCGUUGGUUGUUCUUCAGAAUUGUUGGAGUUGCAUCUCAUGAUAGCACAUAACAAAGAUGGAAUUUGCAACCCAAACCUGCCUCGGUCUACGAGCUCAAGACAGGCUUUAUCCCUAUGCACUCAAUCUUUAAUUCAUGUUUUCUGUACUUAGGCUACUUUCUUCCAAAAUAAUAUUCUUGCUCUCUGUAGGUCUCUGAAUAGGAGUAAUUUUUUUAUGGCCCGUCUCAGUGAAGCACACCACCAUUUUCUCUUCAAUUCGUCAUUAGAAGUUAAAUACUUACAAAGUUGAAUUUCUUCCCAAAUAAAUGUUCUCUUGCUUAUUGCAGGCCUAUCUCAUAAUUUUGCAAGACCAACCUUCACCGAGUGAAAUCUUUAAAUCACCGCCAUUCUCUUCAAUUCAUCAUUAGAAGUUAAAUACCUCACAAAGAUAUAUUUAAAUCCAAUCUAUUACUCACUACAGGUUUCUACAUAAUUUCUAUGGCCAAUCUGAGUGAAUCCUUUAAAUCAUCUCCCCUUUCUCUUCAAUUUAUCAUCAGAAGUUAAUUGCUUGCAAAGUUGAAUUUCUUCUCGAAUAUUUGAUGAUUCUGAACAAAAUCUGCUCGAAAGUUGCCACAAAUGGUCUGAGAGAAUAGUGAAAUAAGAAGAAAGUAAUUGGCCGAAAGAAAGCUCUGCAUUCGAUGUACACCUCAAAAUAAUUUGAGUUUUUGCCGUUCCAUAUGAAUUCAUUGUUAGCUGCAAGUUUCUAUACUAGAUGAACAAUUCUUACAUGUGUGCGGAGUGCACUAAAUUUCCCCUGAACUCCCCUGAUUCACAAGCAUUUUUAAUAGAUAAAUACCAGCACUUUUAUGCAUGUGCUGCUUCCUUCGGUGUUAUGUAUAUAUUAAACUUAGAAGAAUUUCUUCUACACAAUACAGUUGACCUUUUAUUGGUUCAUGUAAAAUUUAAUUGUUCUGUUUGUUUCUUUACAGGGAAGCUAUGAAAUUAUGAGAAGUAGCAUGCCUAAGUUGACUCUCUUCUGCUUGAUAUGAUGUCCUGAACAUGCAUUGUUCAGGUGAGCAUAGUUAUCUAUAUUGAGAUCCCUUCCGCAUCGUGAUCGCGUCCGGCCCACACCCCGGUCAUGGCCAUUCUGUCCUCUAAACCUUCCAGAUAAACAAUUUAACAGGAGCAAAACAGCUUUGUUCGAAGGACUCAAUGCUAGGAAUAGCAUGGGGUUAAGGCAUUGAAUAUUCCUCUCCCAUGCUCUGGACCGUUUUUCUGUUGGCGGUCUAAGUCAGGCAUUGCUCCAGUAUUAGCUUUUGGAUGGCUUUAAUUUUAUUUUGUGAAAUUUGAAUCUGAUAAAAGUACAUGAAUAAAAACUUAUGUUAUUUCUUAUUUCAUCAUUGUAAACUAUGAGAUCAAUCUAGCCCCAGGAGGUGUUUGACAAUAUUUGAAUGUUUAUUGAAUCAACUACCUCUUGGAUAUGGGAUCGUCUGAGAAAAA